rnacentral:lncRNA from 1 species
CACCCCUUGUAGUAUUAGUUAGUCACAGCGAGCCGGGGGUAUGUCCUUGCCAAUUAAGUUUGAGGGGUUAUAUUUAAGGAUGGAGUAAGUUUCAUUAUGUUUGCAGGUCUCAACCUCCCCUGCUUCAAAGGGUUAACCAUAGGUUGCCUGAGGUGUCGUGCCCAUUGAGCGUGGAUAAGGUCGGCUGAUGGCGGGCAUUGGAAGGAUAUGAUUUAUGACGAGGGGGGAGGUGAGAGGAAGUGGUGAUUAAGAACCACUGUAUGUUUAUUGGCAAGGACGUUUGGGUCACUGUAUAACACUGUGUGGAGUUAUAUAUGUAUAUAUGUUAAUUUAUGAUUAUUUAUUUCUAACAAUUUGCAA